AUGUUCUGCAGACGGGCAUGGCAGAAGGUCGGGCCGCUGGCACGGAGGGCUUUCAACCCGGCGCUCAGAGCCGCUCCGGUGCGACACAUGGCCUUCGGGGUUCCUGGCGGUUCCACCAACAUGACGUACUUUGUUCUGUGUGGAGGAGGCCUCACUGCUGCCGUCGUCUAUGCGUACAAGACAGUCAACGGUGAUACAGAGCGCUAUGAGGACAGACUCGCCAACAUGGGCUCCACGGCAAAAGGUCAGACACACACACACACACACACACACACACACACACACACACACACACACUCAGACACACUCAGACACACACACCUGGUCACCAAUGUUAACUUUCUAAUAUUUAGGAGUGGAGGUCAACCAUGUUCACCAUCUUAAUUUAGCAUGUUAGCAUUGCUAAUUGUGCAUUAAGAGUUCAUCAUUUUUGGCAUGUGUUUGUGUUAUAAG
rnacentral:lncRNA from 1 species